GAAUAUUGCGCAAUGGGCGAAAGCCUGACGCAGCAACGCCGCGUGAGUGAUGAAGGCCUUCGGGUUGUAAAGCUCUUUCGGCCGGGAAGAAGGGUUUCGGGGCGAACAGUCCCGGAGCCUGAUGGUACCGGAAGAAGAAGCACCGGCUAACUUCGUGCCAGCAGCCGCGGUAAUACGAAGGGUGCAAGCGUUGUUCGGAAUUAUUGGGCGUAAAGGGUUCGCAGGCGGGAACUUAAGUCAGGUGUGAAAUCCCCGGGCUCAACCCGGGACGUGCAUCUGAAACUGAGUUUCUUGAGUACUGGAGAGGGCAGUGGAAUUGCUGGUGUAGGAGUGACAUCCGUAGAGAUCAGCAGGAACACCGGAGGCGAAGGCGACUGCCUGGCCAGAUACUGACGCUGAGGAACGAAAGCGUGGGGAGCAAACAGG
rnacentral:rRNA from 1 species